UUUAUAUACUCUAAGUCACUUCCCUGACAUAACGGUUUUUCAAACCUUGUCACAGUUUCACAGAUUUACACAAAGUAUUGGAAUCUUGGUGCCCCAGAACAAGAAAAUCCAGAGUGCUGAAACAGGGAUCAGUCAGUGAACGUUUCAACGUGAAAUCUGAAAGUGGUGACAAGUUGAUCUCACCAUUAAAUUUGGCUCAGAAGGCCUCCUCUGUCUGUUACCUCUGUAACGGAUCAUU
rnacentral:lncRNA from 1 species